AUAGGAUUAGUCACUGGGAAAUCCACAGGGAAACACACUUAUUUUAGACCUAUCAGCACCUCGCUCCCUCGCCAUACCAAGCCUUAAUGACCUAAUUCCAUCCAAGGAAUUUUCACUCCAGUACGCCACUAUAGACAACGCUAUACACACCAUCAUCACAGCUGGCAUAGGGGCUUGGCUCAGUAAAACUGACAUCGUCAAUGCGUUCAAAUUACUACCCAUUCGCCUGUCACUAUGGCAUCUGCAUGGUUUAAAAUGGAAAGGUGUCUGGGAGGUCUCGGGAUAUAAGGUAAAUGUGGAGAAAUCCAGUGCACUCCCCAUAAACCUAACACAAACGGACAUAACUAACAUCACCUUAGACCACCACAUAAACGUUACACCAACGUUCCUUACGUAUCUAGGCAUCAAAUUAACAGCAGACACCACCACACUCUACAGACUAAACUACAUACCCACGAUAGAAAAACUCAUCUCAGACAUGGAGACCUGGGCGGACAAACCCAUAUCCUGGAUAGGGAGGAUACACUCUAAAGAUGAACGUUUUUACCCCGCAUUUUAUUCCUAUUCCAGGCCAUACCAAUCCCCAUCACGAAACACAACCUCACCCCACUACAGCGGGCAAUAGAUAGAUUUAUCUGGUAGAACAAGAGACACAGAGUAGCCCGCAACAUACAUUAUCGCCCCAAAACGAGAGGAGGCCUGGGCCUACCCCACCUCCACUUUUACUAUCCAGCUGCCCAGAUGGCACAAAUAGCCCUAUGGUAUACCACCCCAGAGACUAGAAGGUGUG